rnacentral:rRNA from 1 species
UACAGAGGGUGCGAGCGUUAAUCGGAAUUACUGGGCGUAAAGCGUGCGCAGACGGUCAUGUAAGUCGGGUGUGAAAGCCCCGGGCUCAACCUGGGAAUUGCAUUCGAGACUGUGUGGCUAGGGUGCGGAAGAGGGAAGCGGAAUUUCCGGUGUAGCGGUGAAAUGCGUAGAUAUCGGAAGGAACACCAGUGGCGAAAGCGGCUUCCUGGUCCAGCACCGACGUCAGGCACGAAGCGUGGGGAUCAAACAGGA